CCCACACCCAUGUGUGUAGGACCUCAAAUGAUCACCAUUAAAUUUGGCAUAGAUCUUUAGAAAAGUUAUUAUAUGGGUGUGGGACUUAACUUUUCUAGAGAUUUGUGCCAAAUUUAAUAGUGAUCCUUUGGGGUUCUAUUCACGUGGGUGUGGG
rnacentral:pre_miRNA from 1 species